CCUGAUACUGCAAGUGGAACGCACGAAGUUGAAGAGCUUGCUCUUUAACCAAGUGAGUGGCGGAGGGGUGAGUAACACGUGGGUAAUCUGCCCUUUAGAGGGGGGAUAACAUUCGGAAACGGAUGCUAAUACCGCAUAGUUUCAGGGAUCGCAUGAUUCUUGAAGGAAAGGUGGCUUCGGCUACCACUAAUGGAUGGACCCGCGGCGUAUUAGCUAGUUGGUGAGGUAAUGGCUCACCAAGGCAAUGAUACGUAGCCGACCUGAGAGGGUGAUCGGCCACACUGGGACUGAGACACGGCCCAGACUCCUACGGGAGGCAGCAGUAGGGAAUCUUCCGCAAUGGACGAAAGUCUGACGGAGCAACGCCGCGUGAGUGAAGAAGGUUUUCGGAUCGUAAAACUCUGUUGUUAAAGAAGAACAAGGAUGAGAGUAACUGCUCAUCCCCUGACGGUAUUUAACCAGAAAGCCACGGCUAACUACGUGCCAGCAGCCGCGGUAAUACGUAGGUGGCAAGCGUUGUCCGGAUUUAUUGGGCGUAAAGCGAGCGCAGGCGGUUCUUUAAGUCUGAUGUGAAAGCCCCCGGCUCAACCGGGGAGGGUCAUUGGAAACUGGAGAACUUGAGUGCAGAAGAGGAGAGUGGAAUUCCACGUGUAGCGGUGAAAUGCGUAGAUAUGUGGAGGAACACCAGUGGCGAAGGCGACUCUCUGGCCUGUAACUGACGCUGAGGCUCGAAAGCGUGGGGAGCAAACAGG
rnacentral:rRNA from 1 species